UGGGCCUAUAGCUCAGCUGGUUAGAGCGCACGCCUGAUAAGCGUGAGGUCGAUGGUUCGAGUCCAUUUAGGCCCAU
rnacentral:tRNA from 45 species